UACGUAGGGGGCUAGCGUUGUCCGGAAUCAUUGGGCGUAAAGAGCGUGUAGGCGGUCCGGUAAGUCCGCUGUGAAAGUCGGGGGCUCAACCCUGGGAUGCCGGUCGAUACUGGUGGACUAGAGUCCGGAAGAGGCGAGUGGAAUUCCCGGUGUAGCGGUGAAAUGCGCAGAUAUCGGGAGGAACACCAAUGGCGAAGGCAGCUCGCUGGGACGGUACUGACGCUGAGACGCGAAAGCGUGGGGAGCAAACAGG
rnacentral:rRNA from 1 species